GGAGUCGAGUAUGAAUGGGUCUACGGAAACAAGCUGUCUCUUUUUGGUUAUAUUGAAGUUUCUUUAAGGGUGCAAAGUCCCUUGAUUAGAAAAAAGACGAGAAGACCCUUAGAGUUUUUAUUAAAGAUAAGAAUUUAUUUAAGUUUUUGCUGGGGCGGCAAAGAGACAAAGCAAUUAAACUCUCUUUUUAUUGUUUUUAGAAGACGAAAAUGUUAAGAAUCAUUAAACUACCUUAGGGAUAACAGCAUAAUUAAAUUUUAGUUUGUGACCUCGAUGUUGGACUAGGAAGGCUUUUGACCAGCAGUCAA
rnacentral:rRNA from 1 species